CACUCUAAGUGGUGGUCACUCGGCUCGG
rnacentral:rRNA from 1 species